rnacentral:rRNA from 1 species
CCUACGGGAGGCAGCAGUGAGGAAUAUUGGUCAAUGGCCGCAGGGCUGAACCAGCCAAGUCGCGUGAGGGAUGACGGUCCUAUGGAUUGUAAACCUCUUUUGUCAGGGAGCAAAGGGCGCCACGUGUGGCGCUUUGCGAGUACCUGAAGAAAAAGCAUCGGCUAACUCCGUGCCAGCAGCCGCGGUAAUACGGAGGAUGCGAGCGUUAUCCGGAUUUAUUGGGUUUAAAGGGUGCGCAGGCGGAAUGUCAAGUCAGCGGUAAAAUUUCGGGGCUCAACCCCGUCGUGCCGUUGAAACUGGCGUUCUUGAGUGAGCGAGAAGUAUGCGGAAUGCGUGGUGUAGCGGUGAAAUGCAUAGAUAUCACGCAGAACUCCGAUUGAGAAGGCAGCAUACCGGCGCUCAACUGACGCUCAUGCACGAAAGCGUGGGUAUCGAACAGGAUUAGAUACCCCAGUAGUC